rnacentral:rRNA from 1 species
GUGCUACAAUGGACAAUACAAAGGGCAGCGAAACCGCGAGGUCAAGCAAAUCCCAUAAAGUUGCUCUCAGUUCGGAUUGUAGUCUGCAACUCGACUACAUGAAGCUGGAAUCGCUAGUAAUCGUAGAUCAGCAUGCUACGGUGAAUACGUUCCCGGGUCUUGUACACACCGCCCGUCACACCACGAGAGUUUGUAACACCCGAAGCCGGUGGAGUAACCUUUUAGGAGCUAGCCGUCGAAGGUGGGACAAAUGAUUGGGGUGAAGUCGUAACAAGGUAGCCGUAUCGGAAGGUGCGGCUGGAUCACCUCCUUU